UAUGUAGUUCGAAUCCAUUACUCACUUGUAUCUCUCACUCUCUUACUCUCUCUCGAUUCUUCUUCAGAGCGAUUGUGAUUUUGAAAUUUCUCAGAGCCAACCUAUCUGCAUCCUUAUGGCUUCAAUCUCGUAGUUUCUCAGAGCGAUUGCGAUUUUGAAGUUCAAUUUUGAGCACUGCCGUCUACAAUCUCAGAAAAACCAAUCGAAUCCUUCAAAAUCUACUUCAGCUCCGUGAUUUAUCUCAGAAUGACAUCUCAGCGAUUUCGAUUUUGAUUUCAAAGCUCGCUCUGUCCCUCGAUUUCGAAGGUCUCUCUUUUGAUUUGGUUGUUGAUUUUCAUUUGUGCAAAUCAAGGCAUUGCAUAUGCAGACAUCAAGGCAUUGAGAGAAGGCACGAAGUGGGUUUAAAGGAAAAUGUGGGAAUAGAAGAACCUUCUUGUUCAACUCCAAUAGGUAGUAGUAACAAAGAAAAAAUAAAUGCGAAUCAGAAGUGCCAAAAUUGAGUGUGGAGUCACGGCAAAUGGAGAGAAGGAAAAGGCCCGGAGCAUACAAUUUACGAAAAAGCUUAGCAUGGGACAAGGCUUUCUUCACUGAAGAAGGUGUUUUGAAUUCCUUAGAAUUAUCUAUGCUCAGUGGAAGCAUUGGUAACUCAUGUAGGGAGGUGCUGCCAACUAUUCAUGAAGAAGGGAGAACGUUGUCUGGUAAUUCUGGCAGCAACAGUGAUUCAGCAGUUUUACAAGUACUUGAAGAGAAUUCAUUUAAAGAAACCCAUGCAACUAAUUCAAAUGAAAGAGAUAAUGGUGGUAGUUUAUUGAUGAAGCAUGUUUCAUCAGCUUGAGAUAAUG